rnacentral:rRNA from 1 species
UACGGAGGGUGCGAGCGUUGUCCGGAAUCACUGGGCGUAAAGGGCGCGUAGGUGGCGCGAGGAGUCUGUGGUGAAAGCCCGAGGCUCAACUUCGGGUCGGCCGCGGAUACUCUCGUGCUGGAGGGUGGUAGAGGCCAAUGGAAUUCCGGGUGUAGCGGUGGAAUGCGUAGAGAUCCGGAAGAACACCGGUGGCGAAGGCGGUGAGCUGGGCAGUUGCUGACACUGAGGCGCGAAAGCGUGGGGAGCAAACAGGG